UACGUAGGGUCCGAGCGUUUGUCCGGAAUUAUUGGGCGUAAAGAGCUCGUAGGCGGUCUGUCGCGUCGGCUGUGAAAUCUCGGGGGCUCAACCCCGAGCCUGCAGUCGAUACGGGCAGACUAGAGUGCUGUAGGGGGAGACUGGAAUUCCUGGUGUAGCGGUGAAAUGCGCAGAUAUCAGGAGGAACACCGGUGGCGAAGGCGGGGUCUCUGGGCAGUAACUGACGCUGAGGAGCGAAAGCGUGGGGGAGCGAACAGG
rnacentral:rRNA from 1 species